rnacentral:rRNA from 1 species
AUUGAACGCUGGCGGCAUGCCUUACACAUGCAAGUCGAACGGCAGCGCGGGGCAACCUGGCGGCGAGUGGCGAACGGGUGAGUAAUAUAUCGGAACGUACCCUGGAGUGGGGGAUAACGUAGCGAAAGUUACGCUAAUACCGCAUACGAUCUAAGGAUGAAAGUGGGGGAUUCGCAAGAACCUCAUGCUCCUGGAGCGGCCGAUAUCUGAUUAGCUAGUUGGUGGGGUAAAGCCUACCAAGGCAUCGAUCAGUAGCUGGUCUGAGAGGACGACCAGCCACACUGGAACUGAGACACGGUCCAGACUCCGUACGGGAGCAGCGAGUGGGGUAAUUUUCGGACAAGU